AAUGAAGUGCCUGAAAAAGGAUUAUCUUGAUAGGGUAAACAAUGUAAAUAUUUGGUUUUGCCUUCAUUA
rnacentral:tRNA from 1 species